rnacentral:rRNA from 1 species
GGGUGAGUAACGCGUAUGCAACCUACCUUGUACUGAGGGAUAGCCCGAAGAAAUUCGGAUUAAUACCUCAUAGUAUUAUCAGAUGGCAUUGUUUGAUAAUUAAAGCUCCGGCGGUACGAGAUGGGCAUGCGUCCCAUUAGCUAGAUGGUGAGGUAACGGCUCACCAUGGCAACGAUGGGUAGGGGGCCUGAGAGGGUGGUCCCCCACACUGGUACUGAGACACGGACCAGACUCC